AUGAACGCUGGCGGCGUGCCUAAUACAUGCAAGUCGAGCGAACAGACGAGGAUCUUGCUCCUCUGACGUUAGCGGCGGACGGGUGAGUAACACGUGGAUAACCUACCUAUAAGACUGGGAUAACUUCGGGAAACCGGAGCUAAUACCGGAUAAUAUAUUGAACCGCAUGGUUCAAUAGUGAAAGACGGUUUUGCUGUCACUUAUAGAUGGAUCCGCGCCGCAUUAGCUAGUUGGUAAGGUAACGGCUUACCAAGGCGACGAUGCGUAGCCGACCUGAGAGGGUGAUCGGCCACACUGGAACUGAGACACGGUCCAGACUCCUACGGGAGGCAGCAGUAGGGAAUCUUCCGCAAUGGGCGAAAGCCUGACGGAGCAACGCCGCGUGAGUGAUGAAGGUCUUCGGAUCGUAAAACUCUGUUAUUAGGGAAGAACAAAUGUGUAAGUAACUAUGCACGUCCUGACGGUACCUAAUCAGAAAGCCACGGCUAACUACGUG
rnacentral:rRNA from 1 species